rnacentral:pre_miRNA from 1 species
UCUUACAGAUGAGCAAAGAAAGUGGUUCCUUGAGAUGGAAUCUACUCCUGGUGAAGAUGCUGUCAA